UACGUAGGGUGCAAGCGUUGUCCGGAAUUAUUGGGCGUAAAGAGCUUGUAGGCGGUUUGUCGCGUCUGCUGUGAAAUUUCGGGGCUCAACCCCGAACUUGCAGUGGGUACGGGCAGACUAGAGUGUGGUAGGGGAGACUGGAAUUCCUGGUGUAGCGGUGAAAUGCGCAGAUAUCAGGAGGAACACCGGUGGCGAAGGCGGCAUCCUGGACCGACACUGACACUGAGGAGCGAAAGCCAGGGGAGCAAACGGG
rnacentral:rRNA from 1 species